rnacentral:tRNA from 1 species
GAGGGUAUAGCUCAAAGUGGUAGAGCACAUGCUUAGUAUGCACGAGGUCUUGGGUUCAAUCCCCAGUACCUCCU